rnacentral:ncRNA from 1 species
UUAUAAAAGUUUGAUUCUAGCUUUAAAUUUAUUAAAUUUAUAUUUUACAUGUAAAUUUUUGUAUGAAAAAAAAUUAUCUUAAAGAUAAUAAGUAAAAAAAUCGCAGUAUUUUAUAUUAAAAAUAAAAGAAAUUUUGAUUUAGUAAUAAAUAUUAAUAUAGGAUAAAUUUGUGCCAGCAUCUGCGGUUAUACAAAUUAUAUAAAUAAAUUAAAUAUUAGUAAAUAGUUAAUAGUUAAUAAAAAGAAAGAAAAUAAAAAAAAUAAUUUUUAGGUUAAAUUUAAAAUUAUUUAUUUAUUUAAAAAAAAAUAUAUGUGAAACUAAAAAGUUUUAAUAAUAAACUAGGAUUAGAUACCCUAUUAUAAAAAAUGUAAAUUUAAAAACUAGAGUAGUAGUAGAUAUGAGCUUGAAAUUUAAAGAAUUUGGCGGUGUUUUAAUCUAAUUAGAGGAACCUGUUCCGUAAUCGAUAAUCCACGAUUAAUUUUACUAAAUUUAAUAAAAUUUGUAUACCGUCGUUAUCAGAAUAUCUUAUUAGAGAAAAAUAUUCUAAUUAUUUUAUAAAAAAAUUAUUUCAGAUCAAGGUGCAGUUUAUAAUUUAGAGGAAAUGGGUUACAAUAAAUAAAUUUAUAUAGAAAAAUAUUUGAAAGAUAUAAAAAAAAGUGGAUUUAAAAGUAAAAAUAAUAAAAUAAUUAUUUUGACUAUAGCUCUAAAACAUGUACACAUCGCCCGUCGCUCUUUUUAUUAAGAAAAGAUAAGUCGUAACAUAGUAGAUGUACUGGAAAGUGUAUCUAGAAUGA